rnacentral:tRNA from 1 species
GGGCCCAUAGCUCAGCGGUUAGAGCAGCCGGCUCAUAACCGGUCGGUCCGAGGUUCGAAUCCUCGUGGGCCCA